AUUGAACGCUGGCGGCAGGCCUAACACAUGCAAGUCGAGCGGAUGAAGGGAGCUUGCUCCUGGAUUCAGCGGCGGACGGGUGAGUAAUGCCUAGGAAUCUGCCUGGUAGUGGGGGAUAACGUCCGGAAACGGGCGCUAAUACCGCAUACGUCCUGAGGGAGAAAGUGGGGGAUCUUCGGACCUCACGCUAUCAGAUGAGCCUAGGUCGGAUUAGCUAGUUGGUGGGGUAAAGGCCUACCAAGGCGACGAUCCGUAACUGGUCUGAGAGGAUGAUCAGUCACACUGGAACUGAGACACGGUCCAGACUCCUACGGGAGGCAGCAGUGGGGAAUAUUGGACAAUGGGCGGAAGCCUGAUCCAGCCAUGCCGCGUGUGUGAAGAAGGUCUUCGGAUUGUAAAGCACUUUAAGUUGGGAGGAAGGGCAGUAAGUUAAUACCUUGCUGUUUUGACGUUAACAACAGAAUAAGCACCGGCUAACUUCGUG
rnacentral:rRNA from 1 species